CAUUGCUGUGACUGUGGCUGGCAUCUGUAGCUCUAAUUGGACCCCUAGCCUGGGAACCUUCAUAUGCAGUGGAUGUGGCCCUAAGAAAAAAAAAAGUGCAUUGUUUAUUUGUUAGUACAAGAGACUGGAUUUCUAUGACACAAUGAUGAAGGUACAAGUCAUACAAGCUAGCUUGAAAACUAUUUCAGUUGAUUUCUCAGGAAGUUUUUCUAAAGCACUCUUGGUUUCCAUUAUGGAUUCUGAUAUUUUUCAGAAGUAGGCUCAUAGCUUUGACAAAAGUACUUAACAAGAACCAAACUAUGGAAGUUCAAGGAUGCAGUGAAUUCUACAUUUGGCAGAAAAGUGGGGACCACUGAAAUUCUAAGAAAGCACUGGUCUUAAAACCUUCUAAAACUUCUUAUUUAGCCACCUAGAUUUUUUUUAAAAAGAAGCUAUUAGCAGCACAGUUUGUUGAGGCUAUUCUUUAAUGAUACAUAUCACCCGUGGCUCACUGCCCCUUGCACCCUGCACCCUGCAAAAGUGCAUUUGUUUUAGGGUUCUCCUUCUCCUUCUAGUUAAUCUUUUUCUUCCUCUUUCUUUUCUUUUUCUUUUCACUUGAUUUUUUCCCCUAUGUCAUAGUCAUUGUCAUUCUAUGUGCCUUGUCCUGUCCCAUAUAAUAUUGAUUUUGUAUGCUCAUGGAAAAAAAAAAACACAAUUGAUGAUCUUCAAGAAUUUUAGCUGUAACAACCCCACUGUACUCCAAACUUCGGCAUUUCAGGAGUUCAAAAGUAACUGAAGUAUGAGUCUUUGAAAGUUGUUUUGUCCCCUAUUCUAGAAGUUCCAUUUCCUUUGUUAUCAGGUUGCUUAAUGCAUUCUGAGUGACAUUCUUCUUCAAUGUACUUGGCACCCAGUGCAGCUUAUAAUUUGUGGUCCACGAGAGAAGGAUCAGAAUCAUCUGGGUAUGACCUUAUUAUAUAUGUUUUAGUCAGCACCUCCUUUGAGAUACAUUCACUGGGUUCAGAGAAAUUCUACUGUGAAACUCAUAGGCUCACCAGCAUCUGGGAAUUUGAGCCAAAUAUCUUUCAGAUGUUCUAAAAUAGGCUCAUCGAGUUUCUGAACCACAUUUUCUGAGUAACUCUGCAUUCUUCAAAACUUUCAACCUAAAAUAAAAAAUUCUUUUUGGGUAGCUUUUACCUUCAGACUUUUUCUAAAGUUUUUUCUUUUGUGUUUUCUCAACAACUGCCUCCUCAACACCUGGUUUCUAUUUAUUUUCAUCAUCUGUAGGCUCAUAAGAUGAUUUUGUAUCUCUUAGCAAGCAGGUUGAUAGAGACAGGCAUAUUUUCUCCUGGUAUCACAAAUUGCUUUAUGAUGUUUGAAUUUUAUUUUUGCCUAUUCUGUCUAGAGUUUUCUUAGGGCAUUAAGUCAAUAACAUUAUUCAAGUCUUGAAAGAAGUUUGAACACCCUCCAACUGAAUCACCACAUUUUUUUUUGGAGGAUUCAUCAGCUUGAGGAAUUUGCUUCCCCUCAACAGUUCUUUUCUUGUUUCCUGUCCUCAGCAACAUGGUUGGCCCCCUCAUUCGUGACACAUUCCGAUGCCAGUGCCACAGCCUCUGUGGCAGAAAAUGAGCCUCCUGGGCACAGCUUGAGGGGCUUUUGCUUUCCCACCUCAGGGCCUUUAUCUUCCCCCUCAGUAGCUGUGAGGCCAAGUUGCUCAAGUGUCCUGCAUCCCCUCAUUAAGACAGGAGGCCCAGGAGGGUGUGGGUGGUGAAGGAUGAUGGGCAGUCCCUCAGCACCAUAGUCCCUCAGCAUCUUUGGUCCCCCAAUCCCUCCUCCUGGCCUUCACCAGCUGCCUCCUCCACACGAAGGUUAAUGUCUCCCUACUCCCCUGGGCAUCCGUCGUGUCACCUUCCCCUCCUCCCGCUCCAUCCUUCACAGCGGCUGCUUCACAGAUUGCUGGGUCCCACCCAGAGGUCAGGAUUCCGGGGUCUGGGGUGACCUGAAAAUUGGCAUUUCCAGCAAGUUCCCUUGGGAGGCCGAUGCUGCUGGCCUGGGCACUGCGCUUGGAGAACCACGGGUCUGAUCUAACUUCCUCAUGUCACAGAUGGGUCGACUGAGGCAGAACCCCAGCUGGGUUCCAGAAUUGCUUCAAAUGCUUGCCAGUUGUUACGACUUUGCAAUCUCAGUUUACCUUUUCUGGGCCUCAGUUUUCUCAUCUACCAAAUUGGGGACUAACCUCUGUCCUGCCUACCCCGUGGAGCUUAGUUACAGGUGGCUGCUAUUGGGUGGUUGGUUACUCAGGCUUUUAGCAACAACCCUCUGAUUUGGCGUGGAGCAGUCACAUGGUUAUCAGGCCCGUGAACUUAAACAGCUCCCCUCCGGUUACUGGGUCAGAGUUUAUUUCCUGCCUUCCCUUCUGUUGAGGACCGAGAGAGGGAGAUGCCAUCAAAUUGGGGCUGAUACACCAGUAUACUGAACCUGGCUGCUUAGAAAGCCUGAAGACCAGGAGACAGAUUCUUCUUAGGAAGACCCACACCUAUAGGCUGUAAUUGGACAAUGAAGAGUCAGGAUGGAGUUCAAGAGCAGACGUUGGAAAUGGCACUGGUCCUGUUAGGUCCUGACUGAAGCCCAAUAGGCUUAUGCUCAAAUUCCAGUUCUUCUUGCUUGGGACCACAUCCUGGCUGAGCUUCUGGUGUGUCACAUCUGCCUCUCUGUGUGUGUCUAUCUGCCUCUAUACUUGUCAGCAACGUUCACCAGCCACCAGCGGAAGGAAGAGCAGAAAUGAAAGUAGCUUCUGCAAUUGCAGCUCUGUGAAUGACUUGGUUAAAUAGAUUAUACCUGAUUAGGCUGGUCUUGCAUGGAAGUAGAGUAGGUGAGUUUCUUUGGAUUAGCCUCUUAAAGGCUCUAUUAAUGUUUAUUGGCCAGUUCAUCUGUGCAAUGUUCUGCCCUGAAUGUAAAUAAAUGAUCUAAUUUUAAACCUCAGAAGACUACUAUGAAGUAAAUGCUAUUUUGUUUUGCAUUUAUU